UGGUGGAGUGAUUUGUCUGGUUAAUUCCGAUAACGAACGAGACCUUAACCUGCUAAAUAGCCAGGCUAGCUUUGGCUGGUCGCCGGCUUCUUAGAGGGACUUUCGGCUCAAGCCGACGGAAGUUUGAGGCAAUAACA
rnacentral:rRNA from 1 species